AUAGCUUCAUUAUAUUUUUACGCGAAGGUGGCACCACUGCCGUUUGCGGAGAUUUCACUUCUGGAGUUCUUCAUCUGUCGAGAUUUCAAGGUUUUUUUUGUUUUUACUUUUUUCUUUCCUGAAUACGUUGAUAAGUUUAGUUCCAGAUAUUUGUUAUGUUUAAGGUUUAAAUGAGUCCAAAAAAUCCACCAAAAUAUUUUAAUGGCUGUUAAUUAUGAUUAUUUAUUUAGGGAUUUUAUGCAACUUAUAUGUGUGUGUUAUUUUUAUGUUGUCUUUCCAAUGAAGGUUUUAGGUCUGCAUUUUUUGAGAAAUGGCUGAAUUAUUAUAAAAAUCUAUGUGUUGAUUGUUUGGGUUAUGCGAUGAGGUAUCAAUUUUACAUUUUCUGUUUGUAUCACUACCUAUAUAUGGCGUGGUUCUUUAAUUAGGGAGGUUUGAAUGAGGUUGAACAAAAUUCAUUUAUGAUGGACUAUGCAUCCUGGUGCUUCUUCUAUCAGGUGAGUUUUCUAUGGCUCUGUUGAAAAGGACUUCUCUUUUUGAUGUUCUUUUUUUUUUUUUUUUUUUUUUUUUUUUUUUUUUUUU
rnacentral:lncRNA from 1 species